GAUGAACGCUGGCGGCGUGCCUAAUACAUGCAAGUCGAGCGGACAGACGAGGAGCUUGCUGCGCGGACGUUAGGGGCGGAGGGGUGUGUCACACGUGGAUAACCUACCUAUAAGACUGGGAAAACUUCGGGAAACCGGAGCUAAUCGCGGAGGAUAUUUUGCAGCGCAUGGGUCAAUAGUGAAAGACGGUGUUGCUGUCUCUUAUAGAUGGAUCCGCGCUGGUUUAGCUAGUUGGUAAGGUAACGGCUUAGCAAGGCAACGAUGCGUGGACGAACUGAGGGGCUGAUCGGCCACACUGGAAGUGAGCCACGGUCCAGAGUCCUACGGGAGGCAGCAGUAGCGAACCUGCCGCAAUAGGCGAAAGCCUGACGGAGCAACGCCACGUGAGUUAUGACAGUCUUCGGAUCGUAAAACUCUGUUAUUAGUGAAGAACAUCUGUGUAAGUAACUGUGCACUUCUUGACGGUACCUAAUCAGAAAGCCACGGCUAACUACGUG
rnacentral:rRNA from 1 species